rnacentral:rRNA from 1 species
CCCCGGGCCACACGCGAGCUGCAAUGGCAGGUACAAUGGGUUCCAACCCCGAAAGGGGGAGGCAAUCCUUAAAGCCUGCCGUAGUUGGGAUCGAGGGCUGAAACCCGCCCUCGUGAACAUGGAAUCCCUAGUAAUCGCGUGUCACUAUCGCGCGGUGAAUACGUCCCUGCUCCUUGCACACACCGCCCGUCGUUCCACCCGAGCGAUGCUUGGGUGAGGCGUGGUCCCUAGUGGCUGCGUCGAAUCCAGGUUUCGUGAGGGGGGAAAAGUCGUAACAAGGUGGCCGUAGGGGAACCUGCGGCCGGAUCACCUCCU